CUGCAAAAGACGGUUGUCCACCGUCGCCGAUGCUGCAAACGCCGGCCUCUGCUCCUACAAUUGCUACUGCUACAAGCCGGGCGCUGAGAAGGAAGCUGCUGAACUAGUCGCGGAGGAGAAAGGUUUGCUGUACCACGCCCAAAAUAAGGUGAGUUGCAAUCUCUCUCUCUCUCUCCCAUCAAUCUCUCUUCUCUAUACGCGGAUGGAGCGGAUUCACAAGAUAUGUUGGCCAGCAGACAAGAUAUGAACCCAUUUUUCAGUUUUCUUGCACAUCCAGAUCCAUCUCCAUCUCUGUAUCUUACAGAACAUAGAAACCGGUAGCAAGAACACACUCGGGCAUGAGCAUGAUGCUAUAUUUUGAUUGCAAUUUGCUUCAAAACAACAACUCCAUUGAAGAAAAACAAUCUGGGAACACUUAUUUGCAAUAUGCUCCGACAUCCACAGAAAAUAUAUGUUCCAGACAAAUCUGGGAACAACGGGGUGGGAAUCCAUGCAUGCAGAUGUGGUAUUCCUGCAGAAAAAACAAUCGUUGCAUACUCUGACUCAGGACACACUGAAACGGCACAGUACACGUAGUUGAACCAACCCAUGAGCAAGCACUCAGCCCAGUCACCAAAUCCACAUCUUGAUGGAUUGACAACAGCAAAUUUAUCAAAAUCUACGAAGCCAACAUCAUAAGACAGAUCCAUCCAGAGCAAGCGUUAAUAUUGUUGGUCUUUGAAGACGACAUGUGACUGCGUACACUAGUGUUUACUAGCUGAAGGCAUUACAUUGGUUCAACACCCGCUACACACUCACACCAGCUGCAGGAAUUCUAUGUUAUGGGAUAGAGCUAGCGUAUCAGAACCUGCACUAACAAUUGUGGUGCGGUCACACGACACAGCUAAUGCAAGCACUCUGCCAUCAUGCCCGUCGGCGAAGAUGGCAUGACGAGCUCCUGAUACAGAGUCCCAUAUUCUGAUGCGGCCAUCCUCGCACCCUGUAGCCACGAACCUUGUCGCUCCCAACCAGGCUAGACAGGUCACAAUGCCCUAACACACACGACAACCAUAAUGGCAGGCAGUUAGAGAAGCACAAAACGCGGUAAGUAAUCGUUAGCCACGAGGCAUCAACCUCAUGAGGGAGAUGAUGCCGAGCCUCUUGAGUUUCGGCAUCCCAUAUAAUGACCAUGGAAUCUCUGCUUCCUGUUGCGACGACGCCAUCUGCAGAGAUGCCGAUGCAACAAACAGUACUUCCAUGGCCCAUCAAUGCACCAACGACCUGCAAGACUCACAGAUUCAAUGUUCAUGCCUCAAGAUCAACAAACACCAAGAUUUGAACAUUUAUUUGCAUACCUGUCCGAGUUCAAUGCUGACAACACACACGGAACCAUCUUUUGAGCAGCUGUAUAUGGAUUUAGAAUCAUUUGUGAUUGCCAAGCACGUCAAACCUGUGCUGUGAAAGUUCUCACCUGAAAAUUGAAACAGCAAAUCAAUUACAAACUAUAUCAGGACAGCAAGAUCAAUUACUAAAGCUUCAUAAACCUACGAAGCACCGAUACAGCGAAACAGAUACAACAAGGGUACGGCGAUACGGGAUAGGGCAAGGCAAAACAGCAAUAUGGCUGAGUAUAUAUUAAAAAUAAUAAAAUGCACGAGAUGAGAUCAAAACACUGCCCCAUAAACUAUACCAUACCAGCAAAUACCAAAUACAUGAUAGUUAUAACUGCUCACCUUCGAUGAUACACUUUGUCUGGGCACUCUUCGGGCACCACACCCUCAGAGAGGCAUCAUCUGACCCAGAACAUAUAAGUUUACCUUAAAAGAAUAUAUAAAGAGGUUAGCUAACAAUUCAUAUGCAGAGGUUUGAGAUCUGCGCCAAAAGGUGAUAAGGAAAUGCAAAUAACCUAGAAAGUUAAAUGAAAUAAGAUGUACCAUCAGGUGUAAAGUCGCCACAAGUCACAGUCCGCCUGUGGCCAGCAAAUACAUUCAUCAAGUAGUUCUCAGGGUCUCCGCCCAAAUACCACAGCCACAACAUGUGAUCAUCCGACCCUGCCAAUAACGCCGGGCCGCGUGGAUGCCACUUAAGCCACUACGAAAACACAACACAAUUUAAAGAGGAGAAAGACAAAUGCACAGAAGGAACAGGUGCAGUAUCAUGGAUGCCAUUUAAGCCAACUAUGAAACACAAUGAAAACUGGUGAAAAGAUAAAUGCACAAAGAAUAAGUACAGUAUCAUCUUACCUCAAAACUAGAGCCAGAGCGAGGACGGAGAUGUGUGAAAAGAGCUCCUGUAGAGGUGGUCCAAACACUAACUGUGCCGUCCAUACUUGCACAUGCCAGUAGCGUUCCGUUACAACUGAAUGCAACACUGGUAAUUGUAUCUUCGUGCCCUGUAUCAGGUGGGGCUAUUAUUUAGUUACCACUGAGCUUCAACAAACUAAAGUAACUAUAUGCACAGAAUCAUGCUAUCAUAAGUUUCAAAUUGAUUGCCCACACAUGCUCCUACAAAAUAUUGCAAAUAUGAAAUGGACAAGAUGACCAUACCACUAAAUUCAUGCACAUCCUGGGGAUUAAGAGACCAAGCUCUCCACAGAUAACCUCUGUCAUCUGCCCCACCGGAAAGAACAAGCAAGCUCUGCUCAGGAUGGCAUGCCACGCUCAUUACUUCAUCUGCACAAGAUAAGUAUAAAGAACUCAGGCACCAACAACAAAAAUGCAAGCUACAACAAUUGCACUUAUAAAUUAGUUACACGACAGAUCUUACCAGUGUGUCCAGAAAAUUCGUAUGUGCCAGCAUCCACUUCAUCUGAAACACAGAGACAAAAGAACACAGUAUGAAGCAAUAACCAAGAGAUAUCAAAACUAAAAAUACUAAACCGUCAUGUACUGUCGAGUUGAUCAAAACUUCUUAGUUUCACUUGAUUUUUAGGACCAUGUAUCUAUCUAAGUUAUUUGUUAUCUGUAUUACUCAACCACCCAGGAUACACAUGAGCUGUACCUUCCUCGUCCAAGGCAUCAUCAUCAUCCUCGCCCAGUUCAUCUGAAACAACAGAAAACAAUAGAACACUGUGUGAAUCAAUAACCAAGAGAUCUUAAAACUAAAAAUACUAAAACAUUAUGUACUGUCCAGAACAUAGAAAAUAUAUACUCCCUCCGUUCCUAAAUAUAAGUCUUUUUAGAGAUUCCACUACGGAUUACAUACGGAGUAAAAUGAGUGACUCUACACUCUAAAGUAUGUCUAUAUGCAUCAGUAUGUAGUUUAUAGUGGAAUCUCUAAAAAGACUUAGAGGGUGCUUGGAUCCAAGGGACUAAAACUAGUCCGACUAAAAAUAGUCUCUUUAAGAGGCUAAAGUUCCAAGCACCCGUGACUAAAGAGAGGCUAAAACUAGUCUUGAGGCUAAAAUCUUUUAGUCAGGGUACCCCUACUAAAAUGUGAAUUAGUCCUCUCUCUCCUCAUUUAACUCCUCUCCUUUAACACAUGCGAGUUCUGGAUUGGAGGGUUUGGAGGAUAAUAAAUGCUCAUUAACUUGAUUUUAGUCUCUUUAGUAUUUGGAUCCAAGCAUGGGUGGGGCUAGCAAGUUUUAGUCCCACUACUUUUAGUCAUGGGACUAAAACGUAUCCAAGCACCCUCUUAUAUUUAGGAAAGGAGGGACUAUAUAACAAACAAUAAACGACCAUUCUUGGGAGCAGAAAACCACUAAAAGACACACAUAGCAGAAAAAUAGAAAAACAAGGACAACGUGCAUGCUUUAUCUAUCCAUAUGUUGUUAUUACUACCAAAACUAACUUAUAAGCAAUUAGUAUUCUGUCUGUAUAUUGCCAUAUGGUUGAUAAACAUUAGGUUUCUAAGGAAUCUGUUUGGUACCAUAACACUCACUGCCUGCAAUGGAUUUGGUUGGUCUUUUUAGCAAAGUUUUAAAUAGCCAGCUAUAGCUGUUUGAGCAUGUGCUGCUAUGUGGCAUAGCCCACUAAACUUACGAAAUAGCCCGCUAUAGCGGGCUAUAGCCUAGCUAUAGCUGAUUUGGAGGGCCGCCGCUAUUUGCCAUAGCCCGCUAUUUAAAGCAGUGCUUUUUAGUGUCUGUAACACUUUUUGUUUUUGCUCUACGGAAUGCAUGAUAUUAAGCCUAUCGAAACAAUGAAGUUUGCACUGGAGAUCUUCUAGCUGUUUUGGCUAGGCCCCAAGACAGAAUGCUACUUCCCAUGAUAUCUUGGUUGCUGGUCAUUUGAUGUACCAAUACUUUUGUCAUAGGUAGCCUGAGUUUUGAUGCAACCAGGGAGAAGAGGGCGAGGCUUUUUCAUACUCAGUGGUUCAAGCGAGCUAAAUAUUGCGAGGGGAAAUAUUCUCAUUGAUAUUUCUUUGUUGCUCGUGUAUGGCUGGCUGACAUUUAAAUGUAAAUAGAAAGAUUUCCUGGACCUUCCACGUUGACAGCAUUAUCCUCGUUGACGUUGAUGACGGCCUCUUGGGCACCAGGUUCGUCUGAGACAACAGAAAACAAGAGAACGCAGCAUGAAUUGAUAGCCCAUAUAUCUCAUAACUAAAAAUACUAAGAAGUUAUGUACUCUCCAGAUAUAGAGGAUGUAAGAAACAAUAAACCAUCCUCCUUGGGAGCAGGGAACCACUAAAAGACACAAAAGCAAGGAGAACAUCCAUGCCUGUAUUUAUCCAUGUUAUUAUUAGUACCCAAAACUAAGCUAUGUUUGGCAAUUAAUCUUCUGUUUGGUAUUGCCAUAUGGUUUGAUUCUCAUCAGGUUCCCAAGUAAUUGGUUUGGUUCACCCUGCCUGGAAUGGGUUUGGUUGGUCUCUUUAGUCUUGUGUCAAACAAAUUUGUUGCUCUAUGGAACGCAUGAUAUUUAGCCUAUCGAAACAAUUAACUUUGCACGAGUGUUCAUCAAGAUCUUCUAACUGUUUUGGCUAGGCCCCAACAGAAUGCAGCUUCCCACGAUCUCUUGGUUGCUGGUCAUCUGCUGUAGCAUUACUUCUAUCAUAGCUAGCCUGAGUUUUAAUGCAACUAGGAAGAAGAGGGCGAGCCUUUUUCAUACUCAGUGGUUUGAUCAUGCUACAGUGUGAGUGGAAUAUCCUCACUGAUAUUGCUUGUAGUUUAUGGCUAGAUGUCACGUAAAUGUAAAAAGAGACAGAUUUCCUGGAAACUGCUCAUGUCGACCGCUCAGAAACCAGUUGGAAAACUGAGUGUACACGAGAUGUACCUUCCUCGCUGACAGCAUUAUUACCCUCAUUGACGUUGACGGCAGCCUCUUGGGCACCAGGUUCGUCUGAGACAACAGAAAACAAAAGAACGCAGAAUGAAUCGAUAGCCCAUAUAUCUCAAAACCAAAAAUACUAAGAACUUAUGUACUCUCCAGAAUUAUAGAAUGUAGCAAACAAUAAACCAUCCUCCUUGGGAGCAGUGAACCACUAAAAGAUACACAUGGUAGACAAGGGAAAAGGACUGACCUUGAUUUGGCUUGACGGCCUUCUUGCACGGCACACUUGAGGAUGCAGCCUUCUCAUAUUUUGUCUCAGGUUUUAACAGGCAAUGCUUGAGCGGAUUCCUCUUGAUUAUGUCAACGGACCUCCGAAUUUCAGUUGAAGCAUUGGGACAAUACACCUCAUCAGACCGUGUUCCCCAGCUUCUCAUCAAGACCCGAUGUUCAGGUGGUGGCACGACCCCCUUGACCGACC
rnacentral:lncRNA from 1 species